rnacentral:misc_RNA from 1 species
AAGUCGUAACAAGGUUUCCGUAGGUGAACCUGCGGAAGGAUCAUUAACGAGCGAUUGGAGCCCCCCGGGGCUUCCAAACUCUCCACCCUGUGACUACAUUACCAUGUUGCUUCGGCGAGACGGUAACUAUAACAAGCUUGUAGUCAUCUUCUCGCCGUAGGACCAAAUCAACACUGCUUUAACAAAAGAAUUAGUCUGAGCAUGUUUGUUGUCUCUGUAACCCAGAGCAUGAACAGUAUUUAGAUUGGAAUACAUCAAAACUUUCAACAACGGAUCUCUUGGUUCCG